CUGCUUCUAGAAUAAAUAAUCAAAUGAUGCAGACAGAUCCCCACAGAUACCUGCUGGGCUUACAGCAAAGAGAUGGCAUGGAGGUGCCUACAGCUGUUGGACUGUCACUCAAUCUAUACUACACCUCAUUGUGCCCAGGAGGGGUACAUCUAUGUCUCAGGCUGUGUGAGGAUGCCAAGACUCUUCACAGGACCAAGGCAUUGCUCCACUUCUACUGAGUCCUUGGGGGCAUGGCUCUCCACUAAAACAGAUGAAAUGCAGAGGUUUUCUUCUAUACGCCCACUCAUCCGGCAGGUUACCAAGCACCAGAAGAAAAAAAAAAAAAGCUGGGAAGAGAUUUCCUUGCAAGCUAGCACCACUGGGACCUACAGGACACAAAAAGGAAAAACUUGCUUCUCCUGAUACCUUCCCAUUCUUUUAUAUGGCUAGAGGAGGAGGGCAUUGGAAAGAUGCAUGUAAAACUGCUAUGGGACCGUUUGUGGCGUGGCAGCCAUUUUGCAGCAGAGCACAGCUUAGAUUUUGGUGGAAAAUGAGCGUUUGCCAGCAAAGCAGUGGCCAUCUCCCUGCUAAAAACCUCAGAGGCACCUCAAUGCUUAGGUUUUUGAUUCCGAAAACCAAGGCAAGCUCCCGGGGGCAAGAUAGGACUGUUAGAAGAGCUGGCAGGCCUGAGGUGCAGCCGUUGGAGUGCAUGUGUGAGGAACUGCGCAGGUGCGAUCGUUGCAUGCACUUAGCUGAGUAG
rnacentral:lncRNA from 1 species